rnacentral:rRNA from 1 species
GCGUCUGGAAAGGCGCGCGAUACAGGGUGACAGCCCCGUACACAAAAAUGCACAUGCUGUGAGCUCGAUGAGUAGGGCGGGACACGUGGUAUCCUGUCUGAAUAUGGGGGGACCAUCCUCCAAGGCUAAAUACUCCUGACUGACCGAUAGUGAACCAGUACCGUGAGGGAAAGGCGAAAAGAACCCCGGCGAGGGGAGUGAAAAAGAACCUGAAACCGUGUACGUACAAGCAGUGGGAGCACAGAGCAAUCUGUGUGACUGCGUACCUUUUGUAUAAUGGGUCAGCGACUUAUAUUCUGUAGCAAGGUUAACCGAAUAGGGGAGCCGAAGGGAAACCGAGUCUUAACUGGGCGUUAAGUUGCAGGGUAUAGACCCGAAACCCGGUGAUCUAGCCAUGGGCAGGUUGAAGGUUGGGUAACACUAACUGGAGGACCGAACCGACUAAUGUUGAAAAAUUAGCGGAUGACUUGUGGCUGGGGGUGAAAGGCCAAUCAAACCGGGAGAUAGCUGGUUCUCCCCGAAAGCUAUUUAGGUAGCGCCUCGUGAAUUCAUCUCCGGGGGUAGAGCACUGUUUCGGCAAGGGGGUCAUCCCGACUUACCAACCCGAUGCAAACUGCGAAUACCGGAGAAUGUUAUCACGGGAGACACACGGCGGGUGCUAACGUCCGUCGUGAAGAGGGAAACAACCCAGACCGCCAGCUAAGGUCCCAAAGUCAUGGUUAAGUGGGAAACGAUGUGGGAAGGCCCAGACAGCCAGGAUGUUGGCUUAGAAGCAGCCAUCAUUUAAAGAAAGCGUAAUAGCUCACUGGUCGAGUCGGCCUGCGCGGAAGAUGUAACGGGGCUAAACCAUGCAC